rnacentral:rRNA from 1 species
GACGAACGCUGGCGGCGUGCUUAACACAUGCAAGUCGAACGGAAAGGCCCUGCUUUUGUGGGGUGCUCGAGUGGCGAACGGGUGAGUAACACGUGAGUAACCUGCCCUUGACUUUGGGAUAACUUCAGGAAACUGGGGCUAAUACCGGAUAGGAGCUCCUGCUGCAUGGUGGGGGUUGGAAAGUUUCGGCGGUUGGGGAUGGACUCGCGGCUUAUCAGCUUGUUGGUGGGGUAGUGGCUUACCAAGGCUUUGACGGGUAGCCGGCCUGAGAGGGUGACCGGCCACAUUGGGACUGAGAUACGGCCCAGACUCCUACGGGAGGCAGCAGCGGGGAAUAUUGCACAAUGGGCGGAAGCCUGAUGCAGCAACGCCGCGUGCGGGAUGACGGCCUUCGGGUUGUAAACCGCUUUCGCCUGUGACGAAGCGUGAGUGACGGUAAUGAGUAAAGAAGCACCGGCUAACUACGUG